GAUGAACGCUGGCGGCGUGCCUAAUACAUGCAAGUCGAGCGAACGGACGAGAAGCUUGCUUCUCUGAUGUUAGCGGCGGACGGGUGAGUAACACGUGGAUAACCUACCUAUAAGACUGGGAUAACUUCGGGAAACCGGAGCUAAUACCGGAUAAUAUUUUGAACCGCAUGGUUCAAAAGUGAAAGACGGUCUUGCUGUCACUUAUAGAUGGAUCCGCGCUGCAUUAGCUAGUUGGUAAGGUAACGGCUUACCAAGGCAACGAUGCAUAGCCGACCUGAGAGGGUGAUCGGCCACACUGGAACUGAGACACGGUCCAGACUCCUACGGGAGGCAGCGGUAGGGAAUCUUCCGCGAUGGGCGAAAGCCUGACGGAGCAACGCCGCGUGAGUGAUGAAGGUCUUCGGAUCGUAAAACUCUGUUAUUAGGGAAGAACAUAUGUGUAAGUAACUGUGCACAUCUUGACGGUACCUAAUCAGAAAGCCACGGCUAACUACGUG
rnacentral:rRNA from 1 species